rnacentral:rRNA from 1 species
UACGGGGGGAGCAAGCGUUGUUCGGAUUUACUGGGCGUAAAGGGCGCGUAGGCGGCUUAACAAGUCACUUGUGAAAUCUCCGGGCUUAACUCGGGACGGCCAAGUGAAACUGUCAAGCUAGAGUGCAGAAGGGGCAAUCGGAAUUCUUGGUGUAGCGGUGAAAUGCGUAGAUAUCGUAAGGAAGACCAGUGGCGAAGGCGAGUCUCUGGACAGUUACUGACGCUGAGGCACGAAGGCCAGGGGAGCAAACGGG